rnacentral:rRNA from 1 species
CCUACGGGAGGCUGCAGUGGGGAAUAUUGGACAAUGGGGGGAACCCUGAUCCAGCCAUGCCGCGGGUGUGAAGAAGGCCCUCGGGUUGUAAAGCACUUUCAGUGAGGAAGAACGCCUGGUGGUUAAUACCCAUCAGGAAAGACAUCACUCACAGAAGAAGCACCGGCUAACUCCGUGCCGGCAGCCGCGGUAAUACGGAGGGUGCGAGCGUUAAUCGGAAUUACUGGGCGUAAAGCGCGCGUAGGUGGCUUGAUAAGCCGGUUGUGAAAGCCCCGGGCUCAACCUGGGAACGGCAUCCGGAACUGUCAAGCUAGAGUGCAGGAGAGGAAGGUAGAAUUCCCGGUGUAGCGGUGAAAUGCGUAGAGAUCGGGAGGAAUACCAGUGGCGAAGGCGGCCUUCUGGACUGACACUGACACUGAGGUGCGAAAGCGUGGGUAGCAAACAGGAUUAGAUACCCGUGUAGUC